CGUAAUUUUUGCGAGACAUAGCUAUCUGGGCGAUCGUUUUAGAGCCAUAAAAACCUGAUACGUAUCAGUUUUUUAUUGGUUAAGUUUUGUUUUUUUUUGUUUUUUAUUUUUUUUAUAUCUUUUCUUCGUUUUCUUCUCUCUCUCGACAAAAUCAAAACGAGAGAAACACAAAAUCAAAACAUCGAAGUUUUGAUCGGUUUCCAUAAACAAUAGCUAUCGCGUCGUCGUCUUCUUCUUCCUGCGACUGUAUUCAUCGAGAUCAGUUGAUGAAUACAGUGGAGAAAGAGAUCUCGCCUCGUCGUCUUCUAAAUCGAUUCGACGCAAGUCUUCGAUUGGGUUUUGAUGAUGUGUGUGGCAGGUGGAAUUGGAGCAAUACCCAACUAGUCCUCACAUUGCUUCUCGUAUGGUUGUCACUGAUUGAGAUCUCUCUCUCAAGCAAUGGCGGCACAAGUGAGAUUUAGAACAGCACAAAGCCUCUUCCUUCUUCUUCUCCUCUGCGCAAUUCCAAGUUUUUUCAGUCCAAUAUGAGGAUCUUGAUUUCUGAUGGAGCUGGCUUCAUCGGUUCUCACUUGGUUGAUAAGCUCAUGGACAAUGAGAAGAAUGAUUUCUGGUGGAGCUGGCUUCAUCGAGUGUUCACUCACUCUCACUUUCUUUAUGCUUCUUCUUUGUCAUUUCACGUCCUUAUUUCCUGAACCUGCAUUUCUUUUAUUGUUUUGGUUGUUGUAAAAUCAAAGUACGAUCUCAUGUGUUGUCCUAAUUUUUUGUUCCACCUCUUUGUGUAUCAGUGAUCUCAGUGCACGGAUACCUAAAUCGCCAGUUUAUCAGUGUCUUGGCGUAUGGUCAAACGGGGUUUGUCAUUCACCAUGGAUGGCACGAACGAUCAACCAGGGUGGUACAAUAAAGGGAGACGAGGCAGAUCAACUUCUUGGAAAAAUGUGAACGAAACUUGGAGCAUAUCUCAUUGGUAAGUUCUUGAGAUUUCAACUGUAUUUGUCAAUCAAUUCUCAACUUAAUAACUUUUCAGUUUGGUAGUUACCCUUACUCAGUUAGUUUAUCAAAGCAGCGCCUUCUACAGAGAUAUGUCCGAGCCUGAAAUCAACCUGAGACAGAAACUAAUUGAUGAGAUGUUAGGAUAGUGUUAAGCUAAAGUUUGUGUUAUGUAAGCUAAAGUUUGUGUUAUGUGUUUAGUUAAAGUUUGUUGUUUGUGUUUUUUGUAUGUAUCGGUUUUAUUCUUUGUUUGUGUUUUGUGAAUGUUUUGUGUUUAGUUGAUGAAUCGAGUUAAUCAAUGAAAUGUUAUGCUUUAAAAGUU